AUUGAACGCUGGCGGCAGGCCUAACACAUGCAAGUCGAACGAGUGGCGGACGGGUGAGUAAUGUCUGGGAAACUGCCUGAUGGAGGGGGAUAACUACUGGAAACGGUAGCUAAUACCGCAUACCAUCAGAUGUGCCCAGAUGGGAUUAGCUUGUUGGUGGGGUACCGGCUCACCAAGGCGACGAUCCCUAGCUGGUCUGAGAGGAUGACCAGCCACCCGGGAAAGUAGACACGGUCCAGCCCCCCACGGGAGGCAGCCGUGGGGAAUAGUUGACAAAGGGCGCAAGCCCGAUGAAGCCAUGGCGCGGUGAAGAAGAAGGCCUUCGGGUUGGAAAGUACUUUCAGCGGGGAGGCGUUACCCGCAGAAGAAGCACCGGCUAACUCCGUGCCAGCAGCCGCGGUAAUAC
rnacentral:rRNA from 1 species